AACGAACGCUGGCGGCAGGCUUAACACAUGCAAGUCGAACGGGCGCAGCAAUGCGUCAGUGGCAGACGGGUGAGUAACACGUGGGAACCUUCCUAGGGGUACGGAACAACUCAGGGAAACUUGAGCUAAUACCGUAUACGUCCGUGAGGAGAAAGAUUUAUCGCCCUUAGACGGGCCCGCGUCGGAUUAGCUAGUUGGUGGGGUAACGGCCUACCAAGGCGACGAUCCGUAGCUGAUCUUAGAGGAUGAUCAGCCACACUGGGACUGAGACACGGCCCAGAAUCCUACGGGAGGCAGCAGUGGGGAAUCUUGGACAGUGGGCGCAAGCCUGAUCCAGCCAUGCCGCGUGAGUGAAGAAGGUCUUCGGAUUGUAAAGCUCUUUUGCCAGGGACGAUAAUGACGGUACCUGGAGAAUAAGCCCCGGCAAACUUCGUGCCAGCAGCCGCGGUAACAC
rnacentral:rRNA from 1 species